UUGGAGGGCAAGUCUGGUGCCAGCAGCCGCGGUAAUUCCAGCUCCAAUAGCGUAUAUUAAAGUUGUUGCAGUUAAAAAGCUCGUAGUUGAAUUUCGGAAUUUUUUUAUCGGUUGAAUCAACAGGUUCGUACUGAUUUUAAGAAUUUCUACCUUCUGGAGAACCUUAAUGUCAUUUAUUUGGUGUUUUGGGAAACCAGGACUGUUACCUUGAAAAAAUUAGAGUGUUUAAAGCAGGCUUAUGUCUGAAUAUAUUAGCAUGGAAUAAUGAAAUAGGACGGCAUGGUUCUAUUUUGUUGGUUUCUAGGAUCACCGUAAUGAUUAAUAGGGAUAGUUGGGGGCAUUAGUAUUCAAUUGUCAGAGGUGAAAUUCUUGGAUUUAUUGAAGACUAACUUCUGCGAAAGCAUUUGCCAAGGAUGUUUUCAUUAAUCAAGAACGAAAGUUAGGGGAUCGAAGACGAUCAGAUACCGUCGUAGUCUUAACCAUAAACUAUGCCGACUAGGAAUCGGACGAAGUUAAUUUUUUAAUGACUCGUUCGGCGCCUUACGGGAAAC
rnacentral:rRNA from 2 species